rnacentral:sRNA from 1 species
GCCAGAGCAAACUGAGCGAUGCGUUUGAUGCGUCGCACGACGCAAAGUUGGCGACGACUAAACGGCCAAUUGCUUAUGUGUGCGCUCACCGAGUAACGACAAGGUGUUGAAAGCGCAAAAAUGAGCAGCGAGGUCGUUAACGGACGCUGAAGCGUUUUGUUGUUGAGAAGUGAACGCGUUUUCUCUCGUAGACGAUAGAUAUUCCAGAGAGAGAUGACGGUGAAAAGGCGUCAAGUUUUUGAAACGCUAGACGAAGUGCGUCACACCCGAAUGGGGUGCUUGCCAAUCGGAUAGAAAUGCUCGUUAGGAAGAGACGAGAAGAACGCGCGAUAUUUCCGCUAAAGCGCGUUUUCAGAGGUGCACAAGUUCGUUUAAGCCGAGUGCACAAAGUGUGCCGGUUAUUAACUGUGCAUCUCCCCGAUUGAUUCUGUCGGCGGUUAUAUGCUUAUCUCAAAGGCUAAGCAUGCAUGUCUAAGUUCAAAUGGCCUAUAAAGGUGAAACCGCGAACGGCUCAUUACAACAGCUAUUAUAUACUUGAUCUUGAUAUCCUACGUGGAUAACUGUGGUAAUUCUAGA